CUAUAUUAUUCACAUUUAUUCACAAUUGUUAUACCUUAAGGAGAAAUGUGCAGCGGUGAUCUUCAUUGUCAGUUUUGUCUCUUCACUGGUCAGAUGUUGUCUCUGUUCUUAAUUGUUAUUUCUCUGCUCAAAGAGAACGCUGAAGCAAAUACAAUAAACCCACUGAUCCCAGAGAAGCACGUCACAGCAGGAGACAAUGUUACCCUGUCCUGCGAUUACAGUGGUCGUGUGAACACCUUGCAGUGGUAUCGACAAAAUCCAGGAUCUCAAUUAGAGUUUCUUAUUUUUGUUACUGAGCUCAGAGGCCGGUCAGAGCCUGCACUUCGGCUUUCAUCUGUGGCUGAUGAACGCAGUAAACGCAUGAAUCUGAGCAUCUUUCAGACAGAAAUGGAAGAUUCUGCUUUGUACUACUGUGCAUUGGUGCCCACGGUGACAAGAAACACUGCAACACUGUACAAAAACCUGACAUCAUUAGCACCAAUAGAUCAGACAUUAUAUUUCAACUUUUUUGCAACAAAUGUGAUGUUUUUUCCGCAAGAGCUUACGAUUCCAUUUGGGACAGAGACUAUAAAGACUCCAUUGCAGAAGUCAAUCAUAUUGCCAGAAGGCCAAAGUGGAGCUUAA